ACCCGCUGAACUUAAGCAUAUCAGUAAGCGGAGGAAAAGAAACUAACUAGGAUUCCCCGAGUAGCGGCGAGCGAAAGGGGAAAAGCCCAGCGCCGAAGCCCGCGGCCCCCGGUCGCAGUGCAAUGUGGCGUUUCGGCGGCGUCUCGCCUCCGGCUUCUCUGGCACGAGUACCUCUGAAUGGGUCUGCCCGUAGCGGGUGUCAGGCCUCUACUUGCCAAACGAGUUGCCGGGGCCCGGCGUCGUCGCGGAGUCGGGUUGCUUGAGAGUGCAGCCCAAAGUGGGUGGUAAGCUCCAUCUAAGGCUAAAUACCUAGUGCGAGACCGAUAGCAAACAAGUACCGUGAGGGAAAGUUGCAAAGAACUUUGAAAAGAGAGUUCAAGAGUACGUGAAACCGUUCAGAGGCAAACGGACGGAACUGGGCGAGUUCGCCGUCGUCAUUCAGCCGUUCGCGCGCAAGCGCGGCGGUGCACUUGGCGGCGGCGGAGCGCGACGACCGCCUGUCGGGUCGUCAGAAGCCCGGCGGCAAGGUGGCGACGCGCUCGCGCGUCGUGUUACAGGCCGCCGCGGCGUUGGCUGACCUGGCGGGCGAGGAGCGCCUGCGGUGCACUCCCCUCGCGGGGAGUGGCCCGCGUGGUGGGCUUGCGGACGCCGGCGGCGAACUGCUCGCAGUUUGACGUCGCGCGCUCCGUCUGUCGUGCCGCGCGGUGCCACGGGGCACCCGGGGUCCGGGUCGUGUGGUUCCUGGCACUCCGUCCGACCCGUCUUGAAACACGGACCAAGGAGUUGAGCACGUGCGCGAGUCGAUGGGCAUGACGAACCCCAGUGGCGCAGCUAAGGCAAAACGGGCGUGAUCCGGCACUGGCGUGUCGGCGCAACGCCGGCCCGCAGCCGACUCGUUGCGAGUGGCUGCGGCGCAAGAGCGUGCGUGCUCAGACCCGAAAGGUGGUGAACUAUGCUUGAGCAGGGCGAAGCCAGAGGAAACUCUGGUGGAGGCUCGCAGCGAUCCUGACGUGCAAAUCGGUCGUCAAACUUGAGCAUAGGGGCGAAAGACUAAUCGAACCGCCUAGUAGCUGGUUCCCUCCGAAGUUUCCCUCAGGAUAGCUGGCACUCGGGAUAAAUGGUUUUAUCCGGUAAAGCGAAUGAUUAGAGGCAUUGGGGACGAAACGUCCUCAACCUAUUCUCAAACUUUAAAUGGGUAAGAGGCGCGACCCUUCCUGAUCGGGGUCGCGUGCUUGAACAGAGAGUGCCCAGUGGGCCGUUUUUGGUAAGCAGAACUGGCGCUGUGGGAUGAACCAAACGCUCGGUUAGGGUGCCUAACGCACGCUCAUGAGAUACCACAAAAGGUGUUGGUUGAUAUAGACAGCAGGACGGUGGCCAUGGAAGUCGGAAUCCGCUAAGGAGUGUGUAACAACUCACCUGCCGAAUCAACUAGCCCUGAAAAUGGAUGGCGCUGGAGCGUGCGACCCAUACCGGGCCGUCGGGGCAAUGCGUGCGAAAUGCCAGGCCCCGACGAGUAGGAGGGCGUGUCGGUGGCGCUGAAGCGUAGUGCGCGAGCACGCGUGGAGCCGCCUUCAGUGCAGAUCUUGGUGGUAGUAGCAAGUAUACAAAUGAGAACUUUGUAGACCGAAGUGGAGAAGGGUUCCAUGUGAACAGCAGUUGGACAUGGGUCAGUCGGCCCUAAGAGAUCGGAGAAUUCCGUUCUGAACGGGGAUGACGAGAGACGCUCGCUGCGCGCGUGACGUGCUCCGUCUGAACACGCAACGAUGUUGCACGAAGUGUUGGUGGUGGUGCGACGCACGUUCAUACGUGUCGGCCGCACCAGGUGCCUGGGCGCGAAGCAGACGCGUGGCAGCGCACAAGAGCGGAUCAGCGCGGUCGCCCCCGAUGCGAUCGAAAGGGAAUCGGGUUAAUAUUCCCGAACCUGGCAGUGGAGAUUGGGCCCUCGGGCCCCAGUGCGGUAACGCAACCGAACUCGGAGACGCCAGCGUCGAUCCCGGGAAGAGUUCUCUUUUCUUUGUUAGGAGCGGACUCCCUGGAAUUGGCUUGUCCAGAGAUAGGGACGUUGCAUCCGUAAAGCGUCGCGCCUCACGCGGCGUCCGGUGCAUCGGCGUUGGCCCUUGAAAAUCCGAGGAAGGCAGUGUAAUUUUCACUCCAGGCCGUACCCGAAUCCGCAGCAGGUCUCCAAGGUGCACAGCCUCUGGUCGAUAGAACAAUGUAGGUAAGGGAAGUCGGCAAAUCCGAUCCGUAACUUCGGGAUAAGGAUUGGCUCUGAGGUGCGGGCUGCUUCGGGUCGCGGCAAGAAGCGGGCCGCGCGUUGGCUGGACUGGGCGCCUGGGCAACUGGGCGCUCGGACCGUUGCCUGCGCGCGUCCGUGGGCGGCCGUGGCUUUCGCCGGCGUGGGCCUCGUGUCCGCGUCGGCUUCGUUCGGCCUAAACGCACAGCACAGAACUGGCACGGACUCUGGGAACACGACUGUCUAAUUAAAACAAAGCAUCGCGAU
rnacentral:rRNA from 1 species